ACCAAUUCAAACAGUUUUUUGAUUUUUUCCUAAAAUUACGUGACACUAUUACGAGCUGAGGGAGAAGCAGGAGUUAUACAACUCAUCAAAGAAGCUGACAGGAUGUGAUGAAUGACAACAUGGUUUUGGCCAAAAAAAUCCAAAAACCAAAGAAAGGGUGGACUAAGGCAUUUUGGAUAUGAGGUCCAUUCCCCAAACUACCUCGGUAUGUAUUCUCUCUGGUUUUCUGUUCUCACUACUGGAUCGUCCUGCUGACUACGUGCUUCAUCCCUGUUACCUAAUUUGUUUUCUGUGCCCUGCCUCCCCCAGUACAUCGCACGAUGGUGAUGGCUGGAAGUGGGGCUUGAAGCCAUAACCCCAGCCGUCAGUGAGUCAAUGGAAACACAACAGCUUUUGUGGAUCCCGUUUUAAAGUACAGAGGCAAGACCAACAAAGAGGAAACACAGCUUUCUGCUGCUACACAUUUAGCUGCUUUAGUCAAUGUGUUAACGAUCACAGCCAACAUGGACUCUGUGUCUAUGUUGAUAUUAUAGUGUCCC